CCAACAGGGAUUGCCCCAGUAACGGCGAGUGAAGCGGCAACAGCUCAGAUUUGAAAUCUGGCCCCUCCGGGGUCCGAGUUGUAAUCUGUAGAGGAUGCUUUUGGCGACGCGCCUUCCGAGUCCCCUGGAACGGGGCGCCAGAGAGGGUGAGAGCCCCGUAUGGUCGGACGCCGAACCUUUGUAAAGCUCCUUCGACGAGUCGAGUAGUUUGGGAAUGCUGCUCAAAAUGGGAGGUAAAUUUCUUCUAAAGCUAAAUACCGGCCAGAGACCGAUAGCGCACAAGUAGAGUGAUCGAAAGAUGAAAAGCACUUUGAAAAGAGGGUUAAAUAGCACGUGAAAUUGCUGAAAGGGAAGCGCUUGUGACCAGACUUGCGCCCGGUUGAUCAUCCAGCGUUCUCGCUGGUGCACUCUGCCGGGCUCAGGCCAGCAUCGGCUCCCCCAGGGGGAUAAAGGUCGCGGGAACGUAGCUCUCUCCGGGGAGUGUUAUAGCCCGUGGCGGAAUACCCUUAGGGGGGGUCGAGGCCCGCGUUCGCAAGGAUGCUGGCGUAAUGGUCACCAGCGACCCGUCUUGAAACACGGACCAAGGAGUCAAGCAUUAGGGCGAGUCUUUGGGUGUAAAACCCGCAGGCGCAAUGAAAGUGAACGGAGGUGAGAGCUUCGGCGCAUCAUCGACCGAUCCUGAUGUUCUCGGAUGGAUUUGAGUAAGAGCCUUACCGCUUGGACCCGAAAGAUGGUGAACUAUGCCUGAAUAGGGUGAAGCCAGAGGAAACUCUGGUGGAGGCUCGCAGCGGUUCUGACGUGCAAAUCGAUCGUCAAAUUUGGGCAUGGGGGCGAAAGACUAAUCGAACCA
rnacentral:rRNA from 1 species